rnacentral:rRNA from 1 species
UACGGGGGGGGUAAGCGUUGUUCGGAAUUACUGGGCGUAAAGGGCGCGUAGGCGGCCUUCUAAGUCAGACGUGAAAUCCCCCGGCUUAACCUGGGAGCUGCGUCUGAUACUGGAUGGCUAGAGAUUGGGAGAGGGAUGCGGAAUUCCAGGUGUAGCGGUGAAAUGCGUAGAUAUCUGGAGGAACGCCGGUGGCGAAGGCGGCAUCCUGGACCAACACUGACGCUGAGGAGCGAAAGCCAGGGGAGCAAACGGG